GAGCAAGAGGUAUAGGAGGAGGUGGAGGACGAGAUUCUCUGGCCUGUCCCAGACCAAAUACGGGAUGCUGGUACACAAAGAUUGUUAUUGUUGUUUGGUGUAUUGUAUUGUACAAUACACUAAGGAAUAAAAAAUGUGCAAAUGUCACGAACCCCCGGUCGUGACCCUGGCCUGCCUGUUGCUCUGAGGCUGCUGGUGGGCGUGGUGGUCUGAGCUCCAGGUUUUCCCACCUGAAGCACAUCCGCAAUCAGCACAUCAGGGCCUCCGCCUGCAAUCAACACACCUUUAAGAGACCAGCCAACCUUCCAGUCCCCACCGGAUCGUUGUACCUCACUGACACCUGCACACGCACCACGCGGAUUCCCUCCUGUGCCCCGGAAUCAUCGAAGCUCGGGGACCAGAACCACAUGCCCUCGGAACGACCACCUCAACCCAACCUCUCCCGGGUCACCCUUGUGCACAAUAAACCACUUCUGUUCAUUCUCUAA